rnacentral:misc_RNA from 1 species
ACGCUUGGGUCCCGGGUGGGGGAAGGCCGAGAGCUCCAGGCUCAGCGUCCCCCCAGGAGAUGGUGGCAGCUGCCCCCCUUGUACCCUUAGGAACCCCCAGGAGCACUGGCAUUGGCAUCGGUUUCUAUGGCAACAGUGAGACCAGUGAUGGGGUGUCCCAGCUCAGCUCUGCGCUGCUGCACGCCAACCACACACUCAGCACCAUUGACCACCUGGUGUUGGAGACGGUGGAGAGGCUGGGCGAGGCGGUGAGGACAGAGCUGACCACCCUGGAGGAGGUGCUCGAGCCGCGCACGGAGCUGGUGGCUGCCGCCCGAGGGGCUCGACGGCAGGCGGAGGCUGCGGCCCAGCAGCUGCAGGGGCUGGCCUUCUGGCAGGGAGUGCCCCUGAGCCCCCUGCAGGUGGCUGAAAAUGUGUCCUUUGUGGAGGAGUACAGGUGGCUGGCCUACGUCCUCCUGCUGCUCCUGGAGCUGCUGGUCUGCCUCUUCACCCUCCUGGGCCUGGCGAAGCAGAGCAAGUGGCUGGUGAUCGUGAUGACAGUCAUGAGUCUCCUGGUUCUCGUCCUGAGCUGGGGCUCCA